GGGAAUAUUAUCACUGAGGAUGAGGAAAAGACUGAGGUUCUCAGUGCUGCCUUCUGUCUUUGUCAGACCAUUUAUCCUCAGGAUACUCAGCCGUCUGAGGUGGAAGGCAGGGAUGGGGAGCAGAAUAAACUUCCCACAGUUGAGGAGAAAACAGCAACCGGCUGCUCCCUGGACUGUCAUAAUUCUGUGGGACCAGAUAGGAUCCACCCAAGGGUGCUGAGGUGGCAUGCAGACAUGAUUGCCAACCUGCUUUCCAUCAUUUAUCAGCAGUCCUGGACAACUGAGGAGAUCCCAGAUGACUAGAGACUUGUGAAUGUCAUGCUUAUCUACAAAAAUGAUCCUAACUAGGAUCUGGGGAACUAUAGGCCUGUCAGUCUGACCUUGAUAUCAGGCAAGGUCAUGGAGCAGAUAAUCUUGAGUGCAAUCAUAAGGUAGGUGUGGAAUAACCAGGGUGUUUGGUGAUUCAGCCCUAGGAAGCUGUCUCAGCUGGGCCUACAGAGAAAAAUGGAGCAGUCUACACCUAUUGCAGGCCCAGUGUGGCCUACUUCAUUUCCAGAGUAAAGCAGAAAUUGAGGCCAGACUGUCACCAGCUGCCACUCCUGCCCUAAGUCUCCUUUGCAAGCAAGGCAACUAUAGCCUUCUCCUGUCCUUCUCAUUGCCUCCAGCUCCUGGGAUUUUACAGAAAGCUGGUGAGAAACAGUUUUCACUGAGUCAGCCAUCCACAGAAGCUGUGUCUAUACAGAGACAGUUUUGCUUCCUCUGCGUGAUGGACACAAAUGCUUUCAGAUCUGCUGAUUUGGUAGAAGUGAACUUGGAUCAUCCAGGACCAUGUUAUUGGGGCUCCACCUUACGGCAGAUGAGAGCAGAAUGGCAGUGGCAUUAUAACUUCUCCAGGUUAGAAACUAGGGAGAAGAAAUUUGAUAUGAUACGAUAUUUUGCUUUGGGCCAAAAAAGAAUGCAUUCUCCAAACAGAGAAUGCAUUUUUUCAUAGUGCCUCAAGAUCUAUGCAAAAUAAGAGUAUUUCUAGUAGUUCUAUUUUUACAGCGUCUUACAUAAUAAUGAUUUAUUUGGCAUGAACAUAACUGUGCAGACAAUUAAAAAACAUCUCUUUUUCAAGUAAUUUGUAAUCUCUG
rnacentral:lncRNA from 1 species